rnacentral:misc_RNA from 1 species
GCAAACUUGGUCAUUUAGAGGAAGUAAAAGUCGUAACAAGGUUUCCGUAGGUGAACCUGCGGAAGGAUCAUUACCGAGUGCGGGCCCCUCUGGGGUCCAACCUCCCACCCGUGUCUAUCGUACCUUGUUGCUUCGGCGGGCCCGCCGUCCCGGCCGCCGGGGGGCCACACGCCCCCGGGCCCGUGCCCGCCGAAGCCCCCAUCCUGAACGCUGUGUGAAGGGUGCAGUCUGAGUGAUUAGCUAAAUCGGUUAAAACUUUCAACAACGGAUCUCUUGGUUCCGGCAUCGAUGAAGAACGCAGC